AUUGAACGCUGGCGGCAUGCCUUACACAUGCAAGUCGAACGGCAGCACGGAGCUUGCCCUGGUGGCGAGUGGCGAACGGGUGAGUAAUAUAUCGGAACGUACCCAAGAGUGGGGGAUAACGUAGCGAAAGUUACGCUAAUACCGCAUACGAUCUAAGGAUGAAAGUGGGGGCUCGCAAGACCUCAUGCUCCUGGAGCGGCCGAUAUCUGAUUAGCUAGUUGGUGUGGUAAAGGCUCAACAAGGCAUCGAUCAGUAGCUGGUCUGAUAGGACGACCAGCGACACUGGAACUGAGACACAGUCCAGACUCCUACGGGAGGCAGCAGUGGGGAAUUUUGGACAAUGGGGGCAAACCUGAUCCAGCAAUGCCGCGUGAGUGAAGAAGGCCUUCGGGUUGUAAAGCUAUUUUGUCAGGGAAGAAACGGUGAAGGCUAAUAUCCUUUGCUAAUGACGGUACCUGAAGAAUAAGCACCGGCUAACUACGUGCCAGCCGCCGCGGUAA
rnacentral:rRNA from 1 species